AGUGAACGCUGGCGGUAGGCCUAACACAUGCAAGUCGAACGGCAGCACAGUAAGAGCUUGCUCUUACGGGUGGCGAGUGGCGGACGGGUGAGGAAUACAUCGGAAUCUACUUUUUCGUGGGGGAUAACGUAGGGAAACUUACGCUAAUACCGCAUACGACCUACGGGUGAAAGCAGGGGAUCUUCGGACCUUGCGCGAUUGAAUGAGCCGAUGUCGGAUUAGCUAGUUGGCGGGGUAAAGGCCCACCAAGGCGACGAUCCGUAGCUGGUCUGAGAGGAUGAUCAGCCACACUGGAACUGGAACACGGUCCAGACUCCUACGGGAGGCAGCAGUGGGGAAUAUUGGACAAAGGGCGCAAGCCUGAUCCAGCCAUACCGCGUGGGUGAAGAAGGCCUUCGGGUUGUAAAGCCCUUUUGUUGGGAAAGAAAAGCAGCAGGUUAAUACCCCGCUGUUCUGACGGUACCCAAAGAAUAAGCACCGGCUAACUUCGUG
rnacentral:rRNA from 1 species